UACGUAGGGUGCGAGCGUUGUCCGGAAUUAUUGGGCGUAAAGAGCUUGUAGGCGGUUUGUCGCGUCUGCUGUGAAAAUCCGGGGCUCAACCCCGGACUUGCAGUGGGUACGGGCAGGCUAGAGUGUGGUAGGGGAGACUGGAAUUCCUGGUGUAGCGGUGGAAUGCGCAGAUAUCAGGAGGAACACCGAUGGCGAAGGCAGGUCUCUGGGCCACUACUGACGCUGAGAAGCGAAAGCCAGGGGAGCAAACGGG
rnacentral:rRNA from 1 species